CUGGAGCAUCACUCAACACCAUCAUAACACCAUCAUAACACCAUUAUAACACCUUUAUAACACCACUGGUUCUGCAGUUAUGGCAUGUGCUGGACUAAAAACUCUGCUGCUCUUGUUCCUGCUCACUGUGAGAGUUGAUGGCAUUGCUGAAAAUGUUCUGCACCAAAUAAUUCAGUCUGCAAAGCAAAGGAAAGUAUAUUCAUUUGAGUUAUUAGCUUUAUUUAUUUUUCAUUGUAUUUCAUUAUCUUAAAGAUUGUUUAGCAGCUGCAUAAAACUGUGACCAUAUGUGUGUUUUGUAAUAAAAUAUGCUUAUAUUUUUGUGUCCAGGAUCAGCAUAAAUGGUCAGUAUGCACUUCUAUUCACCACCCCCCUGGGACUAUGUGAAAAUGCCAACUUAUUCACAACGAAUCUUCAACAACAGUUGGAUGAAAUCGGCAACUUCCUUAGAAACGAGCAGAAUCGUGGUGUCAGUAAGAAAACAAAUAAUAUCAUCGCAGCGAGGCCAGGUAACACAGAUACUACCCAUAGUGAGAAUUUGGUUCUUCAAGAUGCUGCAGAGAUCGAUAUAAGGACCCAAAACGAAAAUACCUGUGUUCUAUUUUACUCAACUAAUUCUCCCUGUACGGAGCGCUGUGCACCCCUUAUUUUCAAUAAACUCCAAAAUGGCUUGUUUGCUAAAAUAAAUAUACACCAGAAGGCUUUAGUAUUUUCCACAGUUUAUAAACGUGACAGUGAUUAUAACAUAGACAAUGUAAAAAAUCAUCUUAAUAACUUAAUUAAUAACAAUUUACCUGUCUUCAGGUGCUUCAAUAAUGUCUGUUACAACUGUGCUAAUAAUAUGGACCAGUGUGUUCAAGUGUAAACUAAUGCUAAAACUAAAAUAAAUGCCUCCCAAAUAAGAAUUCAAAGAGCUUUUGUACCUCGAUUGAAAUGCAGAUGGUUAAUGCUGUAAUGACAUUUACUCUCACAUAAAAUCAUUUGUUUUAAUACAGAUGCAAAGAUUAUCAACUUAGAAUUAUAAUUUCCUUUUUCCCUUUAUUUUUCCUUUUUAGUAAAAAAAAAUAAAAAAGGUUUAGUAAAGCAAUGUUAGUUCCAUUUUGCCUGCUGUAUUUCAUUAAAGAUGUGAUGGUUCUUUGGGUUUCUGAGGUUUUUAGUAACAGCAGUGUUGUAUAUCUGUAAAUGAAUGUGUCCUGACUGAAACAGGUGAUAAUGAGCUGAGAGGUUGCUAAACUUUUGCCUGUAUGCAGAUAUGUUCUUUGCUGUCAUUAAAUCAUGCAAAUUU